CUACGGGUUGCAGCAGUGAGGAAUAUUGCACAAUGGGGGGGACCCUGAUGCAGCAACGCCGCGUGGAGGAUGACGCAUUUCGGUGUGUAAACUCCUUUUAUAUGUCAAGAAAAUGACGGUAGCAUAUGAAUAAGCACCGGCUAACUCCGUGCCAGCAGCCGCGGUAAUACGGAGGGUGCAAGCGUUACUCGGAAUCACUGGGCGUAAAGGACGCGUAGGCGGGUUGGAAAGUCAGGUGUGAAAUCCUACAGCUUAACUGUAGAACUGCACUUGAAACUUCUAAUCUAGAGUAUGGGAGGGGGAGAUGGAAUUAGUGGUGUAGGGGUAAAAUCCGUAGAUAUCACUAGGAAUACCUAAAGCGAAGGCGAUCUCCUGGAACAUUACUGACGCUAAGGCGUGAAAGCGUGGGGAGCAAACAGGAUUGAUACCCGGGUAGUC
rnacentral:rRNA from 1 species